CAGGAAUACAGCAAAGAAUGGCACGACUUGGUUGUGUUGUCAGAACAUACUCUGUUCGGUGUCCUCUUUCCCUCAUACAUGUGGACACCAACCACACGUUGAUCAGAUCAUGUACACAGUGCAGCAACCAACAACAAAGCAUCAACUGCCAUUGGUUUCUUCCUGGAGUCUGUAGAGAAACUUGGCUUUCCAUUAAGCAUCUAAGGUGAGGACAGACUAAGGAGUGGAGAAUGUGGACAUCCCAAGAUGCACGUUUCAUGUCUGUGGUUGUGGCAAGGGGAAGCUUUAUCUCGGUUUGGAAGAUGAGGGCUCCCUUGAAGGCUGUUUGACGGGUCACCUAUUCUGUGUGCACUGUGUGCCACCAAGCAGACCUAGACACCUUUACCAAUAGAUGGGAUAAACAUCCUCUGCACACCGAGCAAAAUCUGACCCCCAACCAGCUAUGAGAAAGUACAGAAUCCUGUCACCUUCCCUGGCAAUGUGGAGGUAUAGAUUUUAAAGGAGCCACUAUGAAAAUGAUUUAAACAGCUUGGACGAUGCCUGCCUGCUGGAGGAGCAUGGCCAGGGAAUUGAGGUCCCACCAGUGGAGUGCCCAGGAUAUGACACUGCUCAAAGCAGCCAUUGACCCAACCUCACCAUCUCGAGACUAUGGCCAAGAUAUUUAUGCAUCUGUUUUGAAGCAUGUGCUGCUACUUUUGGCUGUAUUAUCCUUAUACCGCUGCUUGAUACUGUCGCAAGGAAUAAGUCUAGUCCAGUAAUUCAAAAUGAGACCAAUUGGCC
ensembl:lncRNA